rnacentral:rRNA from 1 species
UACGUAGGUGGCAAGCGUGUCCGGAUUUAUUGGGUUUAAAGGGUGCGUAGGCGGUCUUAUAAGUCAGUGGUGAAAUACGGCAGCUCAACUGUCGAGGUGCCAUUGAUACUGUAGGACUUGAGUACAGACGAGGUAGGCGGAAUUGACGGUGUAGCGGUGAAAUGCUUAGAUAUCGUCAAGAACACCGAUAGCGAAGGCAGCUUACUAGGCUGUAACUGACGCUGAGGCACGAAAGUGUGGGGAUCAAACAGG